rnacentral:rRNA from 1 species
AGGGUUUGAUUAUGGCUCAGGACGAACGCUGGCGGCGCGCCUAACACAUGCAAGUCGAACGGAGCAAUUUUGAAGGAAGCCUUCGGGCGGAAUUUGGCUUUGCUUAGUGGCGAACGGGUGAGUAACACGUGAGCAACCUGCCUUACAGAGGGGAAUAACACAGGGAAACUUGUGCUAAUACCGCAUAACAUGGGGAGACGGCAUCGUUUUUUCAUCAAAGAUUUAUCGCUGUAAGAUGGGCUCGCGUCCGAUUAGGUAGUUGGUGAGGUAACGGCCCACCAAGCCGACGAUCGGUAGCCGGACUGAGAGGUCGAUCGGCCACAUUGGGACUGAGACACGGCCCAG